UACGUAGGGUGCUAGCGUUGUCCGGAUUUAUUGGGCGUAAAGAGCGUGUAGGCGGCCAGGUAGGUCCGUUGUGAAAACUCGAGGCUCAACCUCGAGACGUCGGCGGAAACCCUCUGGCUAGAGUCCGGAAGAGGAGAGUGGAAUUCCUGGUGUAGCGGUGAAAUGCGCAGAUAUCAGGAAGAACACCCGUGGCGAAGGCGGCUCUCUGGGACGGUACUGACGCUGAGACGCGAAAGCGUGGGGAGCGAACAGG
rnacentral:rRNA from 1 species